rnacentral:lncRNA from 1 species
CCCCUGUUUCAGGGAGAACCUCUUGAUGAAGCAGAUAUAAUAUGACAUCAAUUGACAAAUCUGAGACAUCUUGUAACAUUGUUUUGCUUAUUGCCUCGUUAUUUUAGUUGUUAAAUGUAUUGAGGUUUGUGACUUCUGAUUUUGCAACUAUCUUUAUUGCCUGAUACCUUAAACAUCAUUUUCUGAAGUUUUGACAAUGUUGAUUCUGUCUGCAAAAUGUAUGCUCUGUGGAUUCAAGCCCCUGUUUCAGGGAGAACCUCUUGAUGAAGCAGAUAUAAUAUGACAUCAAUUGACAAAUCUGAGACAAUAGUAUAGCAUUGUUCUGCUUAUUGCCUUGUUAUUUUUGUAGUUAGAAUGUAUUGAGGUGUUCUGAUUUUGCAACUAUCUUUGUUGCCUUAACCAUCAUUUUCUUAAGUUUUGCCAAUGAUGAUUUUGUCUGCAAAAUGUAUGCUCUGUGGAUUCAAGCCCCUGUUUCAGGGAGAACCUCUUGAUGAAGCAGAUAUAAUGUGACAUCAAUUGACAAAUCUGAGACAAUAGUUUGUGCUAGUGGAUUUAAUUGAGAUUUGAGUUUUUAUUUAGCUUCCUUAGUUGCAUGAUAUGUAUAAAUUAUAUAUCGUUUUCCUAUGAUGAUCCUGUCUGCAAAAUGGAUGCCCUGUGGACUCAAGCCCCUGUUUCAGGGAGAACCUCUUGAGAAAGCAGAUGUAAAAUGACAUGAAAUGACAAAUCUGAGAUUUUCCAUAUUGUGCUUCCUAGUAUUAUGACAUCAAUCGACAAAUCUGAGGUAUUCCAUGACAUUGUGCUUCCUGCUGAAGCAAAAGGCUAUGAUGAGAAAAGUCAUGCACCACUCUGAAGAGAUUCAUCUCUUUGUGCUGAUAAACAAACUUACAACCCAUUUUACAUCUGAGCCACCUCUUGGAUACCUACUUUCGUAUUUCUUUAUUUGCUUUUCAUGCCAUAGAUGGUAGUUUUUAUAAACCAGUUUGGGGAAAUAAUGUACAUUACCAGAUGAUGAGGGUUGCCCAAGUGCAAUCCUACCAUGAUGCGGACUGAAAUUUCAUUGAGGUCAAAUACAUUUGCCGCUGAUGGUUCUUACUUUACAAUCCCGCAUAUUUUGAAUGCCAGCGCAGUUCUUGGUAACUUCUUUCGUGAACCUUGUUGCAUUGCAUGUGAAUUACUUUGUUUUCUGUUGAUAUUUAUGUCUGCAAAAUAGGUGCUUUGUAGAAGCAAAGGCUAUGAUGAGAAAAGUCAUGCACCACUCUGAAGAGAUUUAUCUCCUUGUGCUGAUAAACAAACUUACAACCCAUUUUACAUCUGAGCCGCCUUACGUGUUUGUAUUUUCUGAUUUGUCUAUUGGUUUUUGAGAAACCUAGUAUUUUAAGGUAAUAACUGUAUUGGAGGGAUAAUAACAGAACCAGAUGAUGAGGAUUGCCUAUGAGCGAUCCUACCAUGAUGCGGACUGAAUUUACAUUGAGGUCAAAUACAUUUGCCGCUGAUGGUUCUUUCCAAUCCCCCAAAUCUUGAAUGGAUUUUCCCCUUGGUUUUCCAGUGAUGAUAAUGGCUAUGAUGAGAAAAGUCAUGCACCACUCUGAAGAGAUUUAUCUCUUUGUGCUGAUAAACAAACUUACAACCCAUUUUAUUUCUGAGCCAUCUCAUGACUUUUGUAUUUUCUGAUUUGUUUAUUGGUUUUGAGAAACCGUUUUCAGCUUUUGCCUUUGUGAGAAUACUGUAGUUUUGAAACUGUAAGUCUUGGAUAUUAACUGGAUUUGGAGGAAUAAUGUAUAGAACCAGAUGAUGAGGGUUGCCUGUGAGCGAUCCUACCAUGAUGCGGACUGAAUUACAUUGAGGUCAAAACAUUUGCCGCUGAUGGUUCUUCUUCCCAAUCCUCCAUAUCUUUCAAUGGUUUUUCCUCAUUGUUAUGAAUGUACUGGGAAUUUGGUUCAAAACAAAUGGAGUGGCCUCUAGUUUGACAACCUUGUUGCAUUGUAGAGGAAUGCUCAAGUCCCUGUUUUCACUGAAUUACUUGCGGUUUUGCCAAUGAUGUUUCUGUCUGCAAAAUGGACUCUCGAGCCCCUGUUUCCAGGGAGAACCUCUCGAGAAAAUGACAUCAAUCGACAAACCUGAGGCAUUGUAAAACCAAAAAACUUUUACUGGAGCUUGUAUUUCCUAAUUAAGUGUUUCAUCUCUUCUUUUUUUGACAAUUGUACUCGCCAAUCAUGCAUCAGCUUUGCUUACAUGUGGUUUCUCAAAUGUAUUUUCUUUCUCCUGAUUGCAGAAAGCCAUUUCAUGCGCAAAGAGCUGCUGAACCUACUGGAUGAUAUGAAGCAUAUGGUGCUCUCCUUCUGGAUCAUGAUUGUAGCCUUGUACCAAUGAUACAGAGGGAACAUUGUACUGUGAUCUGUAGGCUUGCCUGGUCAUGUUGGCCAUAGUCUCUUGUAAUUCUUGUGAGAAUUAUUGACAUGCACAUAUUUUAACUACCUCCCAUUUGUUGUUGUGCCUGAAAUUUUGGGGGCAAUCAUGCCUGAAGUGUGGACGGUUAGACCAGCACUCGAUAAAAUUUGUUUUGAUGCCCUCUUCUAUGAUCAAAAUGAGCAUUGUGGUGUAAGAUCACAUUUGUUGCACAUACAUGCGAUGGUCAUCUUAGCCCUUGCCUCAAACUUUUUUUUUUUUGAACGUAUAUGGUGCUUAAAUAACAAAACAGUUGAACCCAAAAAAUUGAACUAAAAUGGUGCCUAUUUUGAACUAAAACGAACUAAUCUUUGAUAGAGCUUGGUUUUGGGUUCAACUGAUAAUGUUGGACCUGGAGCUCGCCUUGAACCCAAAACUGAGUUGUCGCCUCUUCGAAUGUAAUGUUGGACCUGGAGCCGAGCAUGGUGCUUGGGGGAAGUUUCUCAUUUUUGGCAAGAGGGGCGUUUGUAAAUCCUGAAAUUUUAUUGAAUUCGAAAAUUUAGGUGGAGCGGUAAAUAAGUUAAAUCUAAAAAACGGUUUUUAGUGAGUUAGAACAUGAUUUGGGCCGUCGUGCGGUUGUGCUUUGGUGGUCAACGAUGGACACAUGGCGCUGCAACAAUGGUUCCGAUGAUUUGCGCAUCCUAGGUGGCCCAAAAAUGUUGGCCUUUAUCUUUUUGGGGAUUGAUGAGGUCUGUGCCCAAGCUUUGAACCGACUCAUGUCAGUGCCUGCAUUGGCGGUGCCUUUGGGUGCUCUCUUUGGAGGCAUUGCGGCUCUUUGGGUAAAAAGCUAAGCUCUGGAUAGUUUUCAGAGCGGGCGACGGCGGUGUCUUCAUCGUCUCCCCUUUAGAGGCGUUGCUUGGGAGAGCUAGUUUGCUUGUUGUGCGUGGUUUCUCCUUCGUCGGGUUUGGAGGAUGUCGGGGCAGUGGCCCCGGGAGGCUGAUGUGCGUCGAGGCUAUGGCCUCGGGCAAUGAUGUGGGGAGACGACUCCAUGAGGCGGGGUAAAGACUCAACCUUCGCUUGGGUGGCAGGUUUUUCGGCUCGGUCGACGCACCCGGUUUGACUUUAUAUCCGGGCGAUGGCUCCAGAUGUGGUGGGGUAGCAGUCGUGUUUGCGGGUGGUUGCCCUGAGCGGCUUGGGUUGGGGUGGUCAGGUCGUGUGGAGUGGCAACUCGAGGGCAAGCGGCGGCAUGUCGGGGUGGUGGCCGCGGAAGACUGUGUUGGUGAACCGCGCAGGAUGUGACAGCGUGGAUGGAAGUCGGGGUAGUGGCCCCGACCCCCGAGAGUUCAGCAACAUCGAUUGUGUUGACCCCAUGUCGCGUGGCGGCGCGGUUGCUCUCAACAUUGGUCGUCGACAUGUCGAACGUCACAUUUGGCGCAGAGUCCUAUGGAGGGCUUGCAUCUUCACCGCUGCAGGGGUGUCUCGUGUCUGCUUUUUGACAGUGGUGGGAGGCCGACUAGCAUGGUGGAGUGGGUCACCGUUGGUUUGAUUGUAAUUUGUUGGCGUGUUUCUGUGAUGUUUUGUCCCGCCGUUGAUGAGAGUGGGUGUGGCCCCAUUAUGUCUGUUUUUGAGUGGGCUUUCGCCAUGUGCCGAGAGCGGGUGCGGCCAUGCGGAGUCUUUGCUCGAGUAGGUUUGGUCAUGUUUGUAUCGGUUUUCACUAGAUUUUUUGUAAUUAACCGUGCAAUAUUUUUCUUCUUAGUUAUUUAAAUGGACAAACGCCGGAUGCGCGUUGAUUUAGCAAGAACAAUAUGCUUCUCUUCAGCUGCUCAACAAUAAAUAAAAGCGACGAUCCACCAGCACAAGCGGAUGCACGAGGCUAGCUAGGGAAUGCAAUGCAUGGAAGCUUCAUCGAUCAUCCGAGUUGCGUUUUGAACCGAGUUCUCCCCGCCCCCCAACGAUUUUCCUCCUCCGCCUCUCCCCGCUUCCAGAUGGCGCCACAUCGUACGUGCCUAUGCGCGCGCCCAAGUUCCCGACGGCCGGCGACGACGGCGCUCGCAUCCCGGUCCUGCUCGCCCUCGCCGCCGCCGCCGUCGUACACCCCGGGCGCGCGCUCGCCUCCGUCCCGCUGCGGCAUCAUGCUGGCAGACCACCCCUUCUUCCCUGGCUUCGGCGUGGGCGACGAGCGCUGCAGCCGGCCGUAUGGCGGGCACUACGAGGAGUACACAUCGCAGGAUUACACUCCGUCGGCCCCUCCGCCGUCGCCGGAUCACACUUCGCCGGGCCCUCCGCCGUCGCCCGACUACGCUCCCUCGUGCCCUCCGCCGUCGCCGGAUUACUCUCCCUCGGGCCCUCCGGCGUCGCCGGAUUACGCUGCCUCGGGCCGUCCGCCGUCGCCGGAUUACGCUCCCUCGUGCCCUCCGCCGUCGCCGGAUUACGCUGCCUCGGGCCGUCCGCCGUCGCCGGAUUACGCUCCCUCGUGCCCUCCGCCGUCGCCGGAUUACACUUGGUCACCAGAGCCUGCUGCUUGGUUCGCUUCCCCGGCGACGACGCCUUCUCCGCGACCCGCGUCCCCAGACCCAGAGUACACGCCGUCAGAGCACGCUGCUGCUGCAUCACCUUACUACACUUGGUCAACUCCUCCUCCGCACGCUUCUUCUCCGGAUUACACGCCCAAUACGCCGUCUCCGCCCCCCUGGUGCUGGUGCUGCUCUCCGGCGCCGAGUCGCGCGCGCCGCCGUAUCACACACCGCCGCCUCCUUCUGGCGGCGCCGCGUCGCCGGACUACACGCCCAGCAUGCUGCCUCUGUUGCCCAUGGUGUUAAUUAGAAGCCUUGUCGCCCACGUCGGCACCGCGUCGCAGCCACCAGAGGAGAUCAAUCGCGGCGGACGUCGGCGAGCCUUGGGAUGUUGGCAUCUUGUAAACUGUAAUAGGAGAGAAACAUAUUGACAUAUUGUAUUACUCUGCAUCAAAAGAUGAAUAUAUUGGUAUAGCUUUUGUUGAAGAUGCGAGAUUGUUCUCUUCUUUUGCUUCCUGUUUUUUAUGGCCGGAGCCCUUUGUUUCUGAUGGAUGCAAAUUGUAAUUGCCUACGUGAUUUGAUGAAAGUCAUCCUGGCACUUGUCAUGUUCUGUGACUGUCAUGUCUGAGAGAAGCAUAUGGUCGCCCUGCAAAGACAAUAGGGAUGCAUAAUAAUGAUGUAGUACAAACAAAUCUGUGUGGCUUGCACAUAAAAUUUCAAGUGAACAUCUCUCAAAAAAAAAUCCAACUGGACAAAAAAUUAGAUGAACCUUUUCCGAGUAAAGCAAGCAGCAUUGCAGAAAUGUUACUCAUACAUUAAAAAUCAAAAUUAUUUUAUGUAGACCUUUAUUUGGUUGUGCACAUAGCCAACUGAAAGUUUUAACAUAGACGCACAACAUUCUUCUCGGUUUCAUCAGAAUAUUUCUUUGCUCAUAGCGAGCCCGAGAAGGAAGCUCGAUCAUGUUCUCUUGGAAAUGCAUACUUUGUUAGAUAGUUCCUUACCUACUUCUUUCAAAUAUUGCAGCAUUUGUUUGGUCUCAUUGACAAGCAUUGUGUUUCAACCAAAGCAGCCACUUUCCCGCAUACUGGUACUUUCAAGUAUUCAUCGGUGGCCUCCAGAUUGCAGAACUUUUUAUCUAAAAUUUGUCUUCACAAUAACUGCACAACGCCCUGGAAUGCAUCAUGGUAAAUGUUUCUGGAUGAGAAUCCCAACAGCAGUAUAGCACUGAUCCUUCACGCUCUGUUCAUCUUUCUUUUGAUGGCUCUAGCUGGAGCAGAAAAAAAAACAUAGACGAGGAAUUAAGGUAAAUAUUUUUUUACAGGAGAGAUCGAGGCAUGUGCAAUGUAUUUUUACAGUCAGCAGUUCCUGGGAGAGGCACAAAACAUGCUUAAUAGCCCUGAAGUAAAAUCAAAUAGGUUUUUCUUGCAACGGUCGCUAAAUUUUCAAAAUGCAAAUGCAAGCAUUUAACUAAGAGCAAUCCUAGUUUUCUGUAACAUUAUGAAGAGAGAGAGAGAGAGAUCAUAGGUUAGUUGAAAUUUUAAGAGUGAACAAAAUAGUAAGUAUCAUCGACAGAGAGAAAAUGCAGUGCAUCAACUAUCUCACAGUUAUUAAACAAACUAUUUUAUAUCUGGUUUGUGUUGCACUCCUUGGUCACGCCUUCUUGUUGCAUAAAUGCAUAAACGCUGAGAUUGGGUAUUCCCAGAGGCAAGCAGCCAAGUACUUGGCCACAAACUUGGAUACUCUGAAUAGGCCUGAAUAUGUGAUGUGUAACAAAAAAGGGGGAAACUCAUAUGACCCUCAGGCCUCAAACUUGUCAUUUUAAUUUUGAAUGUGGCAUCAUCAAACAGCAGCGAUGAGUGGUACGAAGUUUAAAGCAUACUGUAUCAAUUGUCAGCUGAAAUUCUCACAAGGCUGGUACUUUACCGGAAGCAAUUUUAUGUGCUCCCUUAAUUUCCCUUUCCCCGAGAAGGGAGACACAAUUAACAAAAUCGUCGAAACAUCAAGUGACAGCUGUUUUGCAUCAAGUUUAGCCAGAUAAGUUGCAGCCUCUGCAACUGCACAUUUUUCCAGCAACACCCUGACCGCUUGAUUUAGUAGUCUGGGACUUAUGUUUUGAUCCUGUCCCUUGAACAACAAUGGGCGGCCCACAUUUCCUGGAAUCUAGUAGCACACAAGAUCUCUCGUGUGCGAGGCUCAUGUACCAAGCAAUUUUGUUUCCCCUUGACUGCUCAAAUCUGGAAGAGUUUUAAGCUUUUUGGCUCCAGAACAAUGUCAAAAUUCAUUCCUGUUGGUGUGGAGCCUUUUCAGAACAUGGUCUAGAGCAUGAUGCGAUGCCUCGGUGUAGCCUAUGGCAUGUCUUCGCACUUCCAGUAAAUCUUUCGCACCUCUUCAUGUCUUUGCACCACUGAGAAGUGAGAACAAACAUCAGCGGCUCAGGCAAACAGCGUCUGAAACUUCACUCUUCUCUUGAUGCUGCCAGAUCUUUCAUACCCAAUGCCUAUCUUACUAUGCACCAGCUUGACAGCUAGAUCAGUAUUCCCCGCUUUCCUGAGUGCGUUGAUCAUCAUUGUUCGAACCCUGCCAGGUAUCUCACGGCCCUUUCCUACGAUGCCAUCUGCCAAUUUGCAGGCCUGCUUGAAUCUGCCGGCCCUGCACAGAGCAUUGAUCAUGUCCUCGUGUGCCGUCUCAGGAAUCACACCCAUUGGAGCCAGUUCAUCCAAUAUCCUGCAUGCUCGGCUGUAUUUGCCAGAAAGACAUAGCCCGUUGGCAAGGGCCCUGAAAGCUGCAGCUGUGGGAGUGAUCCCCUUGUCGAUCAUCGCAUCCCACAACUUCAGCGCCUCCUCAUUCUUGUGUUCCUUGAACAAACCAUCGAUCAGUAUGGUAUACGUGUAAACAGUCUGAUCACAGCCAUCAUCUUCCAUUCUCUUGUACAAGGCACAAGCAUCAUCCGUCCUUCCUGCUUUAGCUAAACCAUCAAUCAGCACGUUGUAGCAAUAUGAGUCCGGCACAAAACCUUUAACUUUCAUCUCCUCGAAGAGCUCCUGUGCUUGGUCGACCAUUCCAGCUUUCCCAAAGCCAUCAAUCAGGCUUGUAUAGAAGAUAGGGUUCACUGCAAUACCUUUCUCCACACAACUCCUGAAACAUGAAAUGGCCUCAUCCAGCCUCCCAAACCGGCACAAGCAGUUAACAAUCACUCCAUAUGUGACGGCGUCGAGCUCAAGCCCGCUACUCUUCAUCCUCUCAAAGAGUGACAUUGCCUCGGUCUCCCUUCCAAAUUUACCCAUUGAAUCAAUGAGCGCAGUGUACAUGGCUGCUUUGGCUGGGCAACCACGCUUCAGCAUUCUCUCGAACACGGCCAUCCCCUCAAACGGCUUCCCAUCCUUGCAGAGCGCGCCGAUCACCAGCACAUAUGCAUGCUGCGGAAUGUCCUUGCCAAUUCCCCUCUCUUCCAUUUCUUGGAACAAUGCCACGCACUGUGAAAACGUGCCCUCGCUGUAAUGGCACUGCAUCAGUGUAAGGUACGUUAUCUUGUCGGGCGACAGCUCCUCCUGUUCCCUCAUGUGAUCGAGCCGAGCCAUCGCAUCCUGCACCCUCCCGGCGCGGCAGUACCCCUUGAUGAGAAUGUUGUAGGAGACCACGUCAGGGCGAACCGGGUCUUCCGUGGACAUUGCGUCGAACACGUUGACGGCGGUGUCAAGGAGGCCCGCGUUGACGAGGCCGUCGAGGAGGCAGUUGUAGGUGACCCUGGACGGCUCGACGCCGGCGAGGCGCAUGCCGUUCCACGCCCACAGCAGCUCGUCGGCGAGGCCGAGGGCCGCGAGGCUACGGACCAGCGACGCGGCCGACGGCGGCGUGAGGUGCCGCAGCAGGCCGUCCCCGUCCCCGCGGGCGCGCAGCUCGGCGACGAGCCGCCCCGCGUGGCCGGCGGCGUCGGGGGUGGCCUCCCUGGCGCGCGCGAAGGAGUGGAGCAGCGAGACGUAGCAGCCGAGGAGGUGCUGCGGGUGGGCGGCGAGGUCGUCGGUGCCGCCGGGCAGGGCGCGGAAGAAGCGGAGCGACGGGAGCGGGUGGGGCAGGAGCUGCGGGGAGCGCAGCGCGGCGGCGACGAAGGCCGGGGAGAGGCGCAGGAGGAAGGUGCGGCAGAAGGCGCGCAGGUCGGCGGCGAGCGUGGCAGGCGGCGCGCGGAGGACCAGGGAGACGACGCGCGGCAGCCACGGCGACGGGGUGGGCGGCGCGGCCGAGGAGGCGGUGUACGGGCUCGGGUCGGCGAGGUCGGUGUACGGCUCGAUCCACUCCGGCGGAGGGUGGCCGCCGCCGUGGGGGCCCGACGCCCGCCGGCCGCGCGGGACGCUGCAGAACCUUCGCAUCGCUGCAGAGGUGUUGGACGAAGAGAGCGUGGAGGCGUUCUUGAGGCUAGAUUUUGCUCUUUGUCAGUUGUCACGCUUACUUUUCCCAGGGAAUUUUCGCACAUAAUCGCAGCGACAACUUUGCUGGAUUGAAAAUUUUGUAAGGGGUAAUGUUACCCAUCUGACGUUCGCUGGGAGAGGGGUGGCAAGCGAACGCCAUUUGAUAGCAGUUGUAUCUGUGAGGAGCGAUCAAACGACGGCAGUUUUAAAUCGAAAAAUGCCCUCCAUGAAGAAAAUGUCUGAAGAAUCUGUCACCAACUAAAAAUACCAUCUAAAAUGUUUGCAAAUGCCACCCUCCCUGACGAACGUUGGCCGGUUAGCAGGAUACGUCCUGAAAGCUCCAUCUUCCUACCCUGGCGAAAUCGACCUACUGCAAGAGAAUUUUCAUGCCAAGAACAUAAUGUAAGUAGAGUAUAUCCGUAGCUUCAGUGCAAUCCACAAAAAAGGCAAUGAAGCAUCAUCUGUCAUGCGUGUAUGGAAGCAUUACAGAUGGUCAUCAGGCAUUCAGGCGCGAUGAUGCAAUCGUGCAACUGCACUACAUACUUGUCUCAACUACAGGAAAGGAAAGAGCAGCACCCGAACCAAAGACGGCGGGGUCAGAUGGGCGGCGGGUCGUCCCACUGCAGGACGGCGGUGUCGAGGUUCUGCUCCCGCUUGAGCUUGUCCUUGAGGAACCAGUCGCACACCCGCCCGGCGUUGAGCUCCUCGAUCGCCACCCCCUCCUGCUCCGAGAUCACCCGCAGCAGGUUCAGCGACGAGAUCUGACCAAUCCCUCCCAAGAAUCAUUCGUAUCAACACAUGCUAACCAUGAUGUUCUUAAUAAAAUCCAGGUAAACACAUGGCUGCAAACUGCAAACAACUCACGGUGAGGCGGCAGAGGAAGCGCUCGUGGGUGCUGAGCCCGGACAUCUCCACCAGCCCGGCCUCCUCCAGGCUCAGGAACGUCCUCUUCUCCUUCUCCUGCUGCUUCUUCUCGCCGUCACCGCUCUGCUGCUUCUCUUCCUGGCACCUCGUCCUCACCGCCGUCCGCUUUGACGCCGCCGCUCCCGCCCUCGCUGCGAGCGCGGUGGUGCACGCAGUCAGUCACGGGCACGUACUUGCAGGCACGAAUUUAAGCCGGUGCAGAGCGGCGGGUGGUCGACUAACCUGGACUGCAAAGGAAAGCUCGUCGGAGCGACGGCCCGGGCAGCGGGAGCGCCGCCCGCCGCGCUGCGUGGGGUUUGCACGGCGCCACCAUGUGGUGCUGCUGCUGCUGCAUGAUAGCUCACGAGGUUCCUGGCGAGGCGAGCCGGAGGGAGUCGGAAGACGACGACGAUGGGUGUCCGGUGCGAGCAGAUAACGUUCCAUCGCCACGUCCGGAUUUCCUACCCCUCUGACCGAGAACGCUCCGGAAGAAAAGAGUAAAAUGCAUCAUAAGUCCUAAAACUAUGGACGUGUGUCAAUUCAGUCCUAUAACUUUGAAACUGCAAUUUUAGGUCCUAAAACUAUUGGAGGUGUGUCAUUUUAGUCCUAUAACUUUGAAACUGUAGUUUUAGGUCCUAAAACUAUUGAAGGUAUGUCAGUUUAGUCCCAUAACUUUGAAACUACAGGCAAUGAGUGGCAUGAUGGCUUGAGCUCCAACGAGGAGAGUAGACUGGCCACACAGGUGAUGGACGUGCAUGUUGCAACACACAUUGUGACGUCAAAGUGUAUGGACCACUUCUGGGGAAGUAAACACAUAUAAAGAGCUCAUUUGAAAAAAUGCACCAUAGAUGCUAGCCAUGCAAGCUUAGGACCUGAGAUGAACAAACUUACAUAAUUUUGGGACCCAAAACUAUAGUUACAAAGUUAUAGGACUAAGCUGACACACCUUCAAUAGUUUUAGGACCCAAAACUGCAGUUUCAAAGUUAUAGGACUAAACUAACACAUCUUCAAUAGUUUUAGGACUUAUGGUGCAUUUUACUCGGAAGAAAACAACAAAUCCUGAACCAGAAUGCUUGAUCCACAACACAAGGCUAGCAGCCAGCCAGCCAGCCGCUGGCCCUGACCCCGAGCCGUGCAACCCUCAGUUUUACCAAACGAAGCUAAGUAACGGGUGACAGACACCGUUUGCAACAACUAGUCCAAUGUGAACACCUACUUUCACGAACUCACAAAUGAAUCGUAUUUUUUUUACAGAACAAAUCGGCGAAACCAAACGCAAACAGAAAGAAAUUUGUCGGAGAGAAAAGGGGCCGGAGGGUUUGCUAUACAUCGGGUGUGCGGCGCAUCAGGGCAGCUCCAACACGAAUCACCAAACGGACGGCACCAAAUGGUUGUGAACACGUCCGGACGUGUCCAUGGACAGCGCGCGGGUCCGAUCGGCCAUCCAACCAUAGGCACGAAAUGUCCGCCUGCUCGAUCUUUUUUCCUAUGCCUGGAGUAUUGAAAAUAACCAAACAUAAAUAGCACGAUUCUUCGGUGAUUCGAAGAUAAAUAUUCCGAUGCAACAAUAAUUCAAAUGUAAAUAUUGCAAUCCAAACAUAAAGUUCGGGAAUUAUUCCAGAUUUGAAUUCAACUUAUUCGAACAUAUGUUCUACUUGUCUCCUUGCAAUGCUCACAUAUGCUCAAUUUGAUCAUUUCGAAGUUGCGCAUAAGUUCCUCGAUGGCGAAUUUGGUAAUGCAUUUGGAGAAAACUUCAAAUGUCACCGUCCCCCCCCUCCCCCCCAGUUUGGUGCCAAAUCGUGGGAUUUCGAGCGUCCAAACUUUUUCGGACAAAUUAGGUGUCCCUCGUUGGAUGGCCAAAGGUGUCCGGACACUUCGGUCUAGACAUUUGCAGGCAAUUUGGUGAUCUGCGGUUGGCGAUGCCCUUAGCGCCAAUGCAAGGUGGCAUGAUAUAUGCGUGUACACCGACGUCGACAACACUCCUGUAGUUGCUGAUUUCAACGGAGAUGCUCGUGGGUGAAAAAAUAACCCUCGGCGCCACGAUGCUCCCCUCCCCAUCCUUCUCCGCGCCAGUUCAGUUUCUCCUCGGGAUAUUCGACUCAAUGUGAAAUGUCACUAAGGGCUAAGUGUUGAAGAGAAAUAGAGAUUUAAGUAUAUCAAGUGACUUAUAUUAAUGUCGAGUUGGGUAUCUAUAUCUCCCCGACAGGCAUGUACAUACGUUGGUUACAAUGAUUCCAUCUGUUCUAAGAGGCAUGAUGCCCCUUCAACAUCAACAACCUUUGGCAAAGCUGACUUAUAAGUAGUCAGUACAUAGGAAAUCCUAACUGCUAUGUUAGCAUAAAAGUAACGCUGACUUCUAACUAUUAAUAUUUCCUAACACUUCCCUUGGACAACGAUGUUUCUUAGCUUCACUGUCUUGAGAGUGCUGGAUCGUCUUGCCUUUUUAUUGAUAGUCCUUGCUCUUGAAACUUCACGAAUCUUUGAUCUUGUACUAGUUAAGUCCUUCAAAAUCAUGUGGGAAAAGUAUAAGGAGAACUAUAGAAAUUUGAUAUACCAUUAGUGUAUAAUCAAUUGUCAUAUUAAAACCUAUAUGAGAAACCCUUUGGAAAACUCAUAAGGAAAAUAGUACAAUACUUUAUUGACGAGAUGAUAAUUAAUAAGUUAAGUUCCAGGAGAUUUCUCCCCCCGAACUUUGCAAAUUCUGUAGUCAGCUCCUGCCAAUGCCAUGAUGCAUUUUUGAAAUGUUGUUGUUGGUAAAGACUUAGUGAACAAAUCUGUAAGAUUAUCACACGAUUUUGUUUGCAAAAUAUCAAUUUCUUCAUUUUCUAAUAAUUCAUGAGGAAAUAAUAGUUUUGGAGCAACAUGUUUUGUGAUACUACUUUUAAUAUACCCCAGAUGCAUUUGAGUAACACAUGUACAACAUUAUCCUCAUAGAUAAUGGUUGGUGAUUCUAAUGAGCCGAUACGCAUGAUGUUUGAAUAUCAUUGAUUACUCCGCGAAGCCAUGCACAUUCACACGAUUCUUCAUAUAAUACAAUUAUUUUAGAGUGGUUAGUGGAAGUUGCUACUAAAGUCUGUAUUGUUGACUUCCAUGAAAUUGCAGUUUCACCAUAUAAAAAUGCAAACCCUGUUUGUGAGAUGACAUUAAUUAUGGGGAUCAAAAAGAUAACCAUCAUCAGUAUAACCAAUCGGGGCCAUUUCUUGUUUUUUCCCCUAUAGAAUAAACUAAUAACUUUAGUACCAUGCAAUAUCUGAGAUAUUCUUUACUCCUACCAAAUGUCAUUUUGUUGGACCUGCGAUAUGUCUAGCCAACAAAUUUACUGCAAAGGCAAUGUCUUUUCUAGUACAAUUUGCGAGGUACAUUAGUGCUCUUAUGGCAUUAAGGUAUACACUUAUGACAUUAUGUCUUGUGUACAUAUUUGCAAGACUUUUAGCGGCUUUUCUAGUGGUCCAUUUCUGGACUUACUUGUAUAUUUACCAAUUAUCCCGAUCACAAACAAGGGCACGUUCAUAUUUAAAUACACACAUUGCUUCUGAUAGCUGAAGCAUAAGGAACAAACAUUAUCUAAUUAGUACAUAAUGGUUCCUUGGACACUAAAAUGUCCACCUUUGUUGCCCUUAACUUUAGUAGCAGGUGCGAUAGAGUAAUACCACGGAAUAUUUUCUUUCGUACUCUAUUGACGUAUGUCGUCAUAAUAGAACUUUGACUCCUUCUGGACCUAUAUCUUGGGGAAACUCGAUACAAACAAAGUAUAAGGCAUCACCAUGAUCCUUUAUGUCGUAAAGAGAAGAUAGAAAUUUCUUGACCUGCCAAAAAAAUUCCAUCUUCGCAAGGUAGUAAACUUAAUCCCCCUCGUUUUAUAGUAUGAGUGCCCCAAUGCUCUUCUUAUUUCAGAAUUGAAUUUCUUGAGGCAACAUACCUUAUGUUAACUUCAUAUAUCUGACGAAACCUUACGGUUCAGUCAUACACUACAUUCUUAACUUAGUCAACACAAUAGCAUGUUAUAAUGAUAACCCAAGCAUCACAAUAACUCGCCAAGGAAAAUCUAUUGAGUUUCAUAUGUCAUUAGAGCUCGUUAUCACGCAAGCCUCUAAGAUGAUCAUUCACACACAUUAUCAAUCACAGGGUAAUUGUUAAGUCUCAACAUUAAGGAGACAACAUUAUGAGCAUCACAAAAACAUCAAGCAUGUAUUAUCCAUGCAAUGAGAUGAAUCAAAGAGAUGCUUAAUCCAUAUUCAUAAAUAACACAUGAAAAUAAUCAACGUUGGUCAGAAUAGCAUCAUAUGCCAUCAUAACAUUUUUUUAUUAAAUCUCUAGUCAAAACUUCUCAUCAGUUCCAUUUUGACCAGAGAGACAUAAAAUCACAUAAUUAUGAGCAAGAACUUUGGCUAAAUUAAUAGCUAACAUGAAUUAACAUAAAGUGACAACAUAAAACCAUGUUUGCCAUCAUACACAAUGAUACCUUUUGUCACUAAAGUUGAUACCGAUAAUAACAGUGAACAUAAGUGUGAAAAAUAUCAUUAAAAUUCCCAAUGACAUAAAUGAAAAGGACAUGGAAUUAACAUAAAAAUAUACAUGUCAUUGCCACUGAGUAAACACCAAAAUUGAAAUUUAUAGUGAAAAAUGACAUUAAAAUUAUCGUCAGGAUAUGAUAAGAUUUUCCAAAUAAUAAAUCUGAACAUAAAUUUACAUAAGGAUUCACAUAUAGGGAUGGCAAUGGGUAGGGUAUGGGCGGGUACAACCUCCAAACCCAUACCCAUAGAAACUUUCUAUACCCACCCACUUCAAUACCCAUGGGCAUAAAUUGAUACCCAUGCCCAUACCCAUCGGGUAUCCUGUAACCAAUGGGUAUCCAUUGGGUACCAUAUAUAGCAUUUAAAUUUUGAUUUUUUUUAGAGAAAUGAGUCUGAAAUUCAAGUGAUAUGGACGGUCAUUAUGGCACCAACAUAGUCUCCUCCGAUGGUGGCUUCUUGGAGGCAUCAAGGGAUUAUGAGCAGCGGUUGGUGGAAGCCCGACGUAGUGGGAAUGAGCAGCUGGAAUUGGGGGUCACUGGGUCGAGAGUUUAGAGGAGUCCGAUGGCGAUGAGUCAAGAUUUCAUUGUUUCAAGAAGUUAUAUAUAUAGGACGUCAGAGGAGUGUCGAGCAGGCGAUUGCAGGCCUAUGACCUAUGGCUGGUUUAGAGAAUACAAGAUUUAGGGUUGGGCCAUAGGAGUUAGAUGCUUACCCCACAUGUCAUAGGAAUAAUUUGGAUUUAUUAAUUUCUUUUGGGUAUCCAUUGGGUUACCCAUGGGCGCAAUUGAAUACCCAUGCCCUACCCAUAGAUUUUGCGGGUAUGGAUACCCAUUACCCGUGGGUACAAUAUCUUUCCAAGUCAUGCCCAUGCCCAUUGUUUUGCCCAUGGACAUAAAUAUUAAUUGCAUAAAAAUAGUCCUGUCAACUAAACAUCAAUGUGUGUGCAACUAGACUACAUUGCCGCGCCAACUAAGCAUAUGUUUGUGCAACUAGUGUCCUGCCAACUAAACAUCAAUGUGUGUGCAACUAGACUAAACUACAAGCCAACUGAGCAUAUGCCAACUAAACAUCAAUGUGUGUGCAACUAGACUAAACUACAAGCCAACUGAGCAUAUGUGUGUGCAACUAGUCUUCCUGCCAACUAAACAUCAAUGUGUGUGCAACUAGACUACAUUACAAGCCAACUAAACAUCAAUGUGUGUGCAACUAGACUACAUUACAAGUGGAGGUUGAACAUCGACUUUCUCGGGGCAAUAGACUAGUUGCACAUCAAAGUUGUCGUGGUUGCUAGGUUGCAACCUCAUACGAAUGUGCAGCUCCAAACAUUAGUUUUGGAAAAAGUUGCACGAUGUAGUACUAAAGUUGCACAAUAUAUCAUCAAAGUUGCAUAAAAAAAUUUGUUGUAACAUACCCAUAUGGGAUCUAGUUUCAAAGAUCUCGUCACGAAGAACCCAACGAUGAAGACGGAUUUGAAUUCCGACAUGUGGUUUGAAAGAUAUGACUUUUUAAAAAUUGAAGAUCCGGAAUAAAUACACGUGAAUCUGUUUUGUUGUCCAUCAGAUAUAAUAAGUUUGACUGCAUUUAAUGAUCAAUCACAUGCACUAGCAAACAAAUCCUACACAUGCAUGUGUGUGGCAGAGCGCGGCCCUCGUUUUCUCCAGAAGGUGCGCGUGCACUUCGAAGAUUUUAGGGAAAUUUUUUGGCCCAAAAUGUUUUUUUACCCACGGUUAGGCCAAGCUCAGCAGCUAAAACACUUUUUUUUUGAGAAUUAGCAGCUAAAACACUUAAAAAGAAAAAAACUGUUGGCUUGGCUAAGACAACCUGGGCCGAAGCCCAUGACCACUUUCGGUCCCUUAAGCCGCCUGCAGCCCAUCUGCUGCACCGCGCUGGUCUGAGCCGUCGAUCCAACCGGACGGCUGAGAUCGAUCCAGGCCAGAUCAAAACGGCCAGCCGAGGGACCCUACCUCAUUUCUCUCCUCUCCCCUGUUUUUCUCGGUCCCGUUCUGGAGAGGCGACAUCGACGGCGACGCGCUGCCCCCCUUCUUCCAUGGCUGCGUGGUGGCUUUGCUCACCGGAGCAACGUUCCAUGGACUUGGUCCGGCGCGCUCCUCCGUCGAGCAUGGCUGUCGGCGCCGCAUUCGUUCGGGACAGCGAGGGGAAGGAUAUCUGCUUCGUGCGGAUCCAUUAGUCGGCGACGGCGGCGAGCACAACCAGGCGGUCGAACAGGCGCGCGUCCAUGAGCACGGCGGCGGCAUUCCGCGCGUCGCUCAGGUGGGAGGCGACGGCGUCCUGGCACUCUCGCACUCGCAUAGCGGUGAGUGCCUAGCGGGCCCCGAAGGGAAAAGGCGAUGAUGUGGCGCGUUAGUGAGAUAUAUUCUUGAUCCCAAUCUGUGUGCUUUCAUGCUCAAUUGGGUGCGAAAACCUAAUUGCAAAAUUAGGGUAUCGAAUUGGGGAAACUUUUUUGAUCUAGGGUCUCGGAAAUUGGGGAUGUUCUUCUGAUUAUGUGCUCUUGAUUCCCUUUUUUCUAAUUAGCCUGACUCAGUACUGAAAACUAAUAAAUGUUUUGUACAUAAAUGUUAGCAUUAGACCUUAACUUAGAUUAAUUAAAAUUGACGAACACAGGUAGUACUUAUCAUAGCCAAUUAGAAUGAAUCUUGAAUAUCAACAGUGGGCAAUUUAGAUGAACUUAAAACAGUAGCAGCAUAUUGGCAAACAGAGUUGUAAAAAUCAAUCUUAAACAUAAUUCCCUAAACAUAAGACUGAUAUACUAAUCAUGAAUUUGGGAUCUAUUACAAUCAGGGAGGCGUCUGAUACCAUUGUUAAAAUAUUUGCAUCACUAGGAUGCGUCUUCCUGAGGAGACUCGGCGGGCACCUCACCGGCCGGCAGCUCAACCCCUUCCCCACCCACAUCCCCUCACUGCCGCCGGUAAUCGACGUCGGGCAAAGCCUGCCGGCGGCUGGCGGCGGCGGGAUCCGCUCUCUCCAGCGAAGCUCGCCACACAACUCCCCUGUUUUCCUCCCUCCACCUCCCACCACGCCGGCCAUCUCCUCCGUCUGCCCGGAUCCGCCCGUCCUCCCCACUCACCUGCCUCGGUGCUCGCCGGAUCUGGCUGAGCGCGCCCUUUGCGGCGUGUGGCUGCCUUUGGGUCGAUGCCCCCACGCGGAUCCAGAUCCAUUUGUGCCGUGACCUCCUUCGCUCGAUCUGCUCCGCCCUCCCCGGCUCCGUCUGCACCAGCUGCACGACGUGCGCUCCGGGUGGCGCCCCUUUGUUCAGUGCGUGCCCCAAAACCGUGGUGGUCAUCAGGCUGGCUCGGGGUCUUCCACCUCUGCGCCCGUGCGCCGCAUCCCUCCGCUCCGGCAAAACUACCCUUCCGCGCGUCGUGCGUCCGGCUGUUCGCGGCCUGCUGCUCUCUUGAGCCGCCACGCCACCCAGGCAGGGCUGCGCCGCCACUGGCGUGGCGCGUGUGUCGGCCGUCGCCCACACCACCCCUCCCUCUGAUCCAUGCUCAUGGGUGCUCGGUGGAUUGUCGCGGUUCCCCUGACUCGGGCGGGCCAUGCGGCUCCGGCGCCCUCGACCUGGUCGCCUCCGCUGCCGGGCUUUGCAGCUGCGUUUGGUUUGUGCCCGUGUCAGCGGCGUCUAGCAUGGAGGACUGCUGCCCCUCGCCGCAGUUCCCUCUGACCUUCGGCUCUCUGUCUCCGGGAGAAAUCCCUUCGCUGGUUCCUUGCCAGCGGCAGCAACGGCGAUGCCUUCCCGGCGCCGCUUCAUCUUCUUGGAGGCGCCGCUGUGGAGUUAAGUGUAGCUAUGGUUUUGGACGAAAGUCCUGCGAUGAUGGCGCCUGUGGGCGUCAUUCAACCUUCCUGAAGGUGUCGCAAAAACACAUGCUUCAAUCCACUCACCUACGCCCGCCCAUUCCAUCAUCGACUUUGUCCCUCCGUCGCCACUCACCGCCAUCCAUCCAUCCGUCUGGUGUGUUGUCCAUGUUGUGCUUGCUCAGGUCCCUUCCAUGCCUGUUGUUGUCUUGCGGCAGGUUGGGGUCAACAGUGGUUUGUGUUGUUGCUGCCCUACUUCCUAUGUGUUCGUCUUCGGUGUUGUUCCCCGGUGUCGGCCAUAUUGCUGUGCAUGUUCAAGCCCCUCCCAUGGUGGCCGUUGUGUUGCGGUGAGCUUAGUGCUCUUGGUGUUGUCCCGGUUCAUCUUUGCUCUUCGACGACGCAAGAUGCCUCCACAGCUUGCUAAUCAUCCCGAAUUCCCGUGGCGGAGCUCCAAGUCAAGGUUCGUGUUGUCACUCGUUCGUUGUGGAUACUCCUGAGUAGUGUCGUGAGGUUCGGUAUGCACGCCGGUGUGGUGCGCUAGGUCGCUUGCUUAGUCCUGGUAUUGUGAUCCUUCGAUGACACCCCUCUUCUACUUGUGCCUCCCUGGUGUUGGUCCUUUGGUCUGCUAGCUAGGUCAUCCCUUGUCUGUGGCAUCCAUUUUUCUUCUUUUCUUCAGUCAUUGAUGUGCGGCAUUUUUUCUCUCUCUUCUUCUGUAACCUUGUUGAUUGUACGGUUUUUGGCCCGGUUUCCCUUAUAAACGGGGUCAAUUUGUUUAGGUUUUCGAUCCUGUUUCCCUUAUAAACUGGAUCAUCCAAAGUUAAGAGGUGACUCUUGGCUUUGGUAGCUUUUUGAGCAAUAUAUUCAGGUGGGGACCUCCCUCCCGGUGACCGUUCAAAAAAAAGGAUGCCAUGCACAUUAAUAGGUUGCAUCUAGACCUCUUAAUUGUCAUGAAUAGAGAGAGAUUAGGGAUUCAUUACUUGUCAUAGAAGUUGACAUGAUCUCCUGCUUGUUGCAGGAGAAAUGGAAGGAUGAUGUAGUCUAAGUAGACGAUCUCCUUGAUGUCCUGAUUUCUUCGGGCCGCCACCGGCACUGUUCUGUGACGGCGGCAUGAUGACUAAGUCUUCUCACCGUUGCAGCAGCUCCCCCAUAUCGGAUUAGGAUAGAUUCAUGAGGGCUAGUGAACUAUAUGUAAAACCUGCCCUAAGCCCCCCUUUCCUUUACAUUUGAGCAGUUGUACGGGAAGGGACCUAAACCCUCAGUUGGUUUUUGGGCACCCCCAAUAAGGGUGCUAUCGUUGGGUCCAGAGCGUUGGUUCAUGGGCCUCCCCCCCUUUUUUUUUCUCUCGUACGGUUAUUUGACUAUUUUUUUCUUUUAACCGACAUAUCAAUUCAAUAGCUACUACUUUGCAAGCUACUGGAGAAGGCGCUGAAGGGUGCAUGCCACCUCCAUGUGCUCCGCAGGUUUGCCAAUGACGCGGUUGAUACGUCUCCAUCGUAUCUACUUUUCCAAACACUUUUGCCCUUGUUUUGGACUCUAACUUGCAUGAUUUGAAUGGAACUAACCCGGACUGACGCUGUUUUCAGCAGACUUUCCAUGGUGUUAUUUAUGUGCAGAAACAAAAGUUCUCGGAAUGACCUGAAACUCCACGGAACAUCUAUUUGGAAAAUAAGAAAAAUACUGGAAGAAAAAUCCACGUCAGGGGGCCCACACCCUGUCCACGAGGGUGGGGGGCGCGCCUGCCGCCCCUGGGCGCGCCCCCUACCUCGUGGGCCCCCUGGCUCUCCACCGACCUCAACUCCAACUCCAUAUAUUCACUUUCGGGGAGAAAAAAAUCAGGGAGAAGGAUUCAUCGCGUUUUACGAUACGGAGCCGCCGCCAAGCCCUAAAACCUCUCGGGAGGGCUGAUCUGGAGUCCGUUCGGGGCUCCGGAGAGGGGGAUUCAUCGCCGUCGUCAUCAUCAACCAUCCUCCAUCACCAAUUUCAUGAUACUCACCGCCGUGUGUGAGUAAUUCCAUCGUAGGCUUGCUGGACGGUGAUGGAUUGGAUGAGAUCUAUCAUGUAAUCGAGUUAGUUUUGUUAGGGUUUGAUCCCUAGUAUCCACUAUGUUCUGAGAUUGAUGUUGCUAUGACUUUGCUAUGCUUAAUGCUUGUCACUAGGGCCCGAGUGUCACUGGACUAUGCUUAAUGCUUUUCAUGAAUAUAUGUGAGUUCUUGAUCCUAUCUUGCAAGUCUAUAGUCACCUACUAUGUGUUAUGAUCCGGCAACCCCGAAGUGACAAUAAUCGGGACCACUCCCAGUGAUGAGCAUAGUUUGAGGAGUUCAUGUAUUCACUAUGUGCUAAUGCUUUGUUCUGGUACUCUAUUAAAAUGAGGCCUUAAUAUCCCUUAGUUUCCAUUAGGACCCCGCUGCCACGGGAGGGUAGGACAAAAGAUGUCAUGCAAGUUCUUUUCCAUAAGCACGUAUGACUAUAUUCGGAAUACAUGCCUACAUUACAUUGAUGAAUUGGAGUUAGUUCUGUGUCACCCUAUGUUAUGAUUGUUACAUGAUGAACCGCAUCUGGCAUAAUUCUCCAUCACCGAUCCAAUGCCUACGAGCUUUUCACAUAUUGUUCUUCGCUUAUUUACUUUUCCAUUGCUACUAUUACAAUCACUACAAAACCCAAAAAUAUUACUUUUGCAACCGUUACCGUUACUUCCAUACUACUUUGCUACUAAAUACUUUGCUGCAGAUAUUAAGUUAUCCAUGUGUGGUUGAAUUGACAACUCAACUGCUAAUACUUGAGAAUAUUCUUUGGCUCCCCUUGUGUCGAAUCAAUAAAUUUGGGUUGAAUACUCUACCCUCGAAAACUGUUGCGAUCCCCUAUACUUGUGGGUUAUCAAGACUAUUUUCUGGCGCCGUUGCCGGGGAGCAUAGCUCUAUUCUUUGAGUCACUUGGGAUUUAUAUCUGCUGGUCACUAUGAAGAACUUGAAAGACGCUAAGACAACAAUUUAUCCCUCAACUACGAGGGGAGGUAAGGAACUGCCAUCUAGCUCUGCACUUGAUUCACCUUCUGUUUUGAGUAAGCUUGCGACACCUAAACCUGCUUCUGCUAUUCAUUCUGAUAUGUCACAUGUUAUUGAUGAUACCACUUCUGCUAUGCAUAAUACUUAUGAUGAAACUACUUCUAUGCUUGAUACUACUGUGCCACUUGGUGAAUUUCUUGAUGAACAGCUUGCUAGGGUUAGAGAGAAUGAAAUUAUUGAUAAUAUUGAUGAAAGUGAUGAUGAAGACUCUCGACCUAAUAAAUAUGAAUUGCCUGUUGUGCCUGAGGGCUAUGUUAUGGAUGAAGCAAUUGCUAAAGAAAUUUUUGCUUGCAAAGAUAGAUAUGAUGUUAAGAAAUUAUUAGCUAAAUGGAAGCAGCAAUCUCUUAAUGCUAGAAUGAAACCUGACCCUGCUUUUGCUACUUCACCUAUCUGUGUUACUGAUAAGGAUUAUGAAUUCUCUGUUGAUCCUGAUAUAGUUACUUUGGUUGAAUUCGAUCCUUUUCAUGGCUAUGAAUCUGAAACUGUUGUGGCACAUCUUACUAAAUUAAAUGAUAUAGCCACCCUGUUCACUAAUGAUGAGAAUUCUCGCUACCUUUAUAUCCUCAAAAUAUUUUCGUUCUCAUUAAAGGGUGAUGCUAAGAUAUGGUUCAGUUCUCUUGAUCCUGGUUGUGUCCGUAGUCCCCAGGAUAUGAUUUAUUACUUCUCCGCUAAAUAUUUCCCCGCUCAUAAGAAACAAGCUGCUUUAAGGGAUAUAUACAACUUUCUGCAAAUUGAAGAAGAGAGUCUCCCACAAGCUUGGGGGAGGCUUCUCCAGUUACUUAAUGCUUUGCCUGAUCAUCCUCUCAAGAAAAAUGAAAUACUUGAUAUCUUUUAUAAUGGACUAACUGAUGCUUCCAGAGAUUACCUGGAUAGUUGUGCUGGUUCUGUUUUCAGGGAAAGAACAUCGGAUGAAGCUGAAAUUCUAUUGAAUAAUAUGUUGACAAAUGAAAAUAAUUGGACACUUCCUGAGCCAGCUCCUGAGACAAUUCCUAAACCAACUCCAAAGAAGAGAGGUGUUCUAUUUCUCAGUCCUGAAGAUAUGCAAGAGGCAAAGAAAUCCAUGAAAGAAAAGGGUAUAAAAGCUGAAGAUGUUAAGAAUUUACCUCCUAUUGAAGAAAUACAUGGUCUUAAUUUACCGCCUGUUGAAGAAACAUAUGAUCUUAAUCCAUCACCUAUUGAAGAAGCUCAUGGUCUUGAUAACCCGACACAGGUAGUAAAGGUAAAUUCUCUCUAUAGAUUUGAUAAAGCUCAAAUCCCUCCUACUAAAAUUGCUAGCCAAUGCUUGGAUGAGUUUGAUAAUUUUAUGGUUAAGCAAGAAGAUUUCAAUGCUUAUUUUGGUAGACAAUUAAAACAAAAUGCUUAUAUGAUUGAACACUUGGGUGAUUACAUGUCUAGAGUUAAAGGUGAACUUUAACUCAUUAGUAAACAUGCUUCUAUGGUUACUACUCAAGUAGAACAAGUACUUAAGGCUCAAAAUGAUUUGCUCAAUGAAUUGAAUAGUAAGAAUAAUGAUUAUUCUGUUAGAAUGGCUACUAGAACUGGUAGAAUGACUUAGGAACCUUUGUAUCCUGAAGGCCACCCUAAGAAAAUUGAGCAAGAUUCUCAGAGAAAUAAUAUUGAUGCACCUAGUCCUUCUAAAAAGAAGAAAAAGAAAAAUGAUAGGACUUUGCAUGCUUCUAGUGAACCUAUUGCAGAACCACCUGAGAAUCCAAAUGAUAUAUCUAUUUCCGAUGUUGAAACACAAUCUGGUAAUGAACAUGAAACUAAUGAAAAUGCUAAUGAUGAUGUUCAUGAUGAUGCUCAACCUAGUAAUGAUAAUGAUGUGGAAAUUGAACCUGCUGUUGAUCUUGAUAACCCACAAUCAAAGAAUCAAUGUUAUGAUAAGAGAGACUUUGUUGCUAGGAAACAUGGUAAAGAAAGAGAACCAUGGGUUCAGAAACCCAUGCCUUUUCCUCCCAAACCAUCCAAGAAAAAGGAUGAUCAGGAUUUUGAGCGCUUUGCUGAAAUGAUUAGACCUAUCUUUUUGCGUAUGCGAUUAACUGAUAUGCUCAAAAUGAAUCCUUAUGCUAAGUACAUGAAAGAUAUUGUUACUAAUAAAAGAAAGAUACCGGAAGUUGAAAUUUCCACCAUGCUUGCUAAUUACACUUUCAAGGGUGGAAUACCAAAGAAACUUGGAGAUCCAGGAGUACCUACUAUACCAUGCUCCAUUAAAAGAAACUAUGUUAAAACUGCUUUAUGUGAUCUUGGAGCCGGUGUUAGUGUUAUGCCUCUCUCUUUAUAUCAUAGACUUGAUUUGAAUAAGUUGACACCUACUGAAAUAUCUUUGCAAAUGGCUGAUAAAUCAACUGCUAUACCUGUCGGUAUUUGUGAGGAUGUGCCUGUUGUGGUUGCAAACAUUACUAUUUUAACGGACUUUGUUAUUCUUGAUAUUCCCGAGGACGAUAGUAUGUCUAUUAUUCUGGGAACACCCUUUUUGAAUACUGCAGGGGCUGUUAUUGAUUGCAACAAAGGCAAUGUCACUUUUCAUGUUAAUGGUAAUGAGCAUACGGUACACUUUCCGAGGAAACAACCUCCAGUUCAUAGUAUCAACUCUAUUGGAAAAAUUCCAUCGAUUAUAUUUGGAGGUUUUGAAUUUCCUCUACCUACUGUCAAGAAGAAAUAUGAUAUUCUUAUUAUAGGGGAUGUGCAUAUCCCCGUUGAGGUAACAUAGUGUUAUUCGAAAUUUCUCCGGUUCCAUGUUAUUCGGAAUGAGUUUGUUAACAAGACUUGAUCAACCUUGUUAGUGGAUUCCUUUUGAUGAGCAUGAGAUGGAUGAAACUAGAAGGCACAACCUUCUGUACCCUCCUUCUACUUUCUGUUAUUUAGUUGAAAUAAAGUAAAAAUAGUAUUUUUCUGUCUGUUUUCUGAUUUAUCCGUGCAAUAUAAAAAUACCCUGAAAAUAAAAGUUCUCCAAUUGCCCCAAAAUUAAAAUAUGAUUUUUUCUGGAAUAUUUGAGAAUAUUUGGCACUGAGAACACAACAGGAGGGGCAAGCACCUGGCCACGAGGGUGGAGGGCGCGCCCCCUGCCUCGUGGGCCCACGGUGGCCCCCUCCACUUAUUCCUGCACCCACACACUUCUUCUUCCUCCCAAAAAAAUCACCAUCCAGCUCAAGCAUGAGUUCUAGCUCAUUUUGCUGCGAUUUUCGAUCUCCUUGCUCAAAGCACCUCUCACAAAACUGCUUGGGGGGAUUGUUUCUUGGUAUGUGACUCCUCCAUUGGUCCAAUUAGUUUUUGUUCUAGUGCUCUAUUCAUUGCAAAUUUGUGCUGCCUAGGUGACCAUGUUCUUGAGCUUGCAUGUCAAAUUUAUAUGGUUCCAAGUAGUUCUAAUGCAUGAUAUAGUCUCUAGGCACUUGUAGGAGUAGUUGCUAUCAAUAUUGUUGAGCUUGGUUCACCUUUAUUUUGAAGUUACUAAAAAUUUCAGAAAUUUUUCAGAAGAAUAAAUAUGCUUAGGAAAAUGUUCCAAGGUGGUUCUUCAAGGAAGCAAGGACCCAGGCUUGCAAUGCGUGAUGCUGACGAUGAGUCACCGAGGGACGCUCCAGUGCGACCUUGUGAAUGGCCUUCAGAAAAUUUUAUGGAUCGAGCGGGAAUCAAGGAAGAAUUUAACGCAUAUUUGCGUAAUGCUGAUCUUGUGAGCUUUGAGGCAGAAAAAUGCCGCCAAUACCACUAUCUCACUAGUUCCUUUGUGAGGAGGUUUGAAUUUUCAGCUUCACGUAAUUCUCCAACUGUCCUGUUUGAUCUUUAUGAAAAAUCUUAUACGAUGGACUUAGAGGAUUUUACUUCUGCUUGCAAACUUCCAUAAUGGGGUAGUGCUAGUGAACCCCGCAAAUCUGAAUUUAGAAAUUUUCUUGCUAGUAUAACUGUGGGGGAAUCUAGAGAUAUAGCACAAGCUACUAUAGGGAGCAUUCAUUUUCCUGCUAUACAUUAUUUUGCUCUCUUCAUAGGUAGGUGCAUAAAUGGUAAAGAUGAAGCAUGUCAUAUGUGUGUUCCUGACCUCAGUAUUCUUAGGAGUGCUGUGUUAGGAGACAAAUCUUAUAAUUUGGGAGCCAUUGUUGCACGUAGGUUGCAUAAUAAUAGAUUUAAUGGAGAUUUCUUUGGUGGAAUUUAUGCAACCCGCUUAGCUGAUUUUCUUGGUGUAACCAUACGUAAUGAUGAUAUUGAAUUGCCUCCUGCUUACUUAGACUUUAAUGCUGUUCACCACCAGUUUGUUGAGAGGAAUGAAUCACCUCUCCAGUAUCGCUUAAUCUUUGACAGACGUCGUGCUGUCCGUAUUACUCUCCCUGCUCCCGCCUUUUUUGAUUAUCAGGCAAAAGGAAGAUAUGUUAUUACCAGAGAGGAGGCAGAUGAGUACGAGAGGAGGGCAGAAGCCGCUCGCCGCCACGCUGCAGCUCAGGAGGCGAUAGCCGCUGCAUCUCAGUACGACCCCGGCUAUAACUACAGAUAUCCGCCAGGCCACCCGUGGCAAUAAACCAACUUAGGCCAAAAGCCUAAGCUUGGGGGAGUACGUAUUUCCCACCGACAUUACAUUUAUGUCCACACACUCAUUGCUAGAUGUCGGUGCUCAUACUCUUUCACUGUAAUAUCCAUGCUAGUUUAUUUUCCUUUUCUUGCUCUCUUCUUGUGUGUUUGAUAAACUUUAAGAAAAACCAAAAAAAAA